GUUUUUAUGGUCGAAAUGAUUUAUUAUAGAAUAUAAAACAAAACAUGUAUAUAAUUUUAAGUCGUACAGUAUAUAAUACAACACAAUUUUUAUGUUCAUUCAAAGGAAUAAAUAAAAUAUUUCUUGUAACUUUUAAUUUAAAAGUAUAUAAUAAAUAUUAUACUUUUUAUAAUAAAUCACAUAUAUUACAAAAUAAUUCAUGGAAAGUAUUAUUUUUUGGCACAGAUGAAUUUGCAGUUGAAAGUUUAAAAAUCUUAUAUGAUAAAUAUGAAUCUAAAGAGCUAGAACGGCUAGAAAUUGUUACAAAUUAUAAAAUAAAAGAAAAUCCUGUUGUAAAAUAUGCAAAAAAAAAUAAAAUUAUUAUACAUAAAUGGCCAGUUGAAAUUAAUAAAUCAGAGUUUCACAUAGGAAUAGUUGUCUCAUUUGGUCAUUUAAUUCCAUCUACAAUCAUAAAUGCAUUUCCAUUAGGUAUGUUAAAUGUACAUGGUAGUUUAUUACCAAGAUGGAGAGGAGCAGCUCCAAUAAUUCAUACAUUAAUUAAUGGUGAUUUAAAAACAGGAGUUACAAUAAUGAAGAUAAUGCCAAAAAAAUUUGAUAUAGGAGAAAUAGUAUUGCAAAAACAAAUAGAUAUUGAUGAACAUGAAACAAUGCCAAAAUUAUAUACAAAAUUAGCAAAGCUUGGAGGAAAUCUUUUAAAAGAAACAUUUGAAAAUUUAUUGGAAUUAUUACAAUUUGCAAAACCUCAAGAUGAAACUAAUAUAACAUAUGCACCAAAAAUAACAUCAAAAAUAUCUUUAAUUAAUUGGAAUAAAAUGUCUGCCACAAAUGUUUAUAACUUACAUCGUGCUCUUCUGGGUUUAUAUGAUUUAACUACAUCAUUUCAAAAUGUAAAAAUAAAAUUGCUUGAUAUUCAAAAAAUUGAAUCAAAAAUAAUAGCAACAAAACUUAAAGAAGAAAAUACAGGUGUUGCAAUAUAUAGCAAAAAAAAUAAUGCAUUAAUUAUAAAAUGCAAAGAAAAUAGUUUUGUUUCUGUAAAAAAAAUAACUGUUCAAGAUUCUUUCUUUUAUUGAAUUAAAUUAGCUUCAAGAUAUAUUCCUAGUAACAAUUUUAGAUCAAAGAUAAAAAUAUCCAUAAAUAAGUUUUAGCCUAAUUUGUUGCUUUGGCUGCUUCAAAAUUAUACGAAGUGUAGGUGUAUUAUCCAUCUUUUAUGAAGAAUUGUUCCCAUUUUCAUAUAAAAGUGAUUUUUUAACUGGUGGAUCAAGACAGGUGAAAUGGUAGCAUUUUUUACAUUCAUCACACCUGAAAAAUUAAUAAAUUCACAAAUUCGGAAUUUGUUUAAAAAAAUAAGUAUUUAAUGUAUUUAUAUAAA